AUUGAACGCUGGCGGCAUGCCUUACACAUGCAAGUCGAACGGCAGCACGGGAGCAAUCCUGGUGGCGAGUGGCGAACGGGUGAGUAAUGUAUCGGAACGUACCUUUCAGUGGGGGAUAACGUAGCGAAAGUUAACGCUAAUACCGCAUAUUCUGUGAGCAGGAAAGCAGGGGAUCGCAAGACCUUGCGCUGAUUGAGCGGCCGAUAUCAGAUUAGCUAGUUGGUGAGGUAAAGGCUCACCAAGGCGACGAUCUGUAGCGGGUCUGAGAGGAUGAUCCGCCACACUGGAACUGAGACACGGUCCAGACUCCUACGGGAGGCAGCAGUGGGGGAAUUUUGGCAAUGGGCGCAAGCCUGAUCCAGCCAUGCCGCGUGAGUGAAGAAGGCCUGGUUGUAAGACUCUUUCAG
rnacentral:rRNA from 1 species